rnacentral:misc_RNA from 1 species
ACACCUCAACUCUUCAUGGUUUUCUGUGAUGAGCUUGGACUUUGGGGGUUUUGCUGGCCUGCGGUCGGCUCCCCUAAAAUGAAUCAGCUUGCCAGUGUUUGGUGGGCAUCGCAGGUGUGAUAACUAUCUACGCUUGUGGUUUUCCACCAGGGUAACCUUCAGCAGUGGAGGUUCGCUGGAGCUCACAGAUGUCCCUCUUCGGUGAGGACGGCCCUUUGAAU